rnacentral:rRNA from 1 species
CCAGCAGCUGCGGUAAUACGUAGGGUGCAAGCGUUAAUCGGAAUUACUGGGCGUAAAGCGUGCGCAGGCGGUUAUAUAAGUCAGAUGUGAAAUCCCCGGGCUCAACCUGGGAACUGCAUUUGAGACUGUAUGGCUAGAGUGUGUCAGAGGGGGGUAGAAUUCCACGUGUAGCAGUGAAAUGCGUAGAUAUGUGGAGGAAUACCGAUGGCGAAGGCAGCCCCCUGGGAUAACACUGACGCUCAUGCACGAAAGCGUGGGGAGCAAACAGGAUUAGAUACCCUGGUAGUCCACGCCCUAAACGAUGUCUACUAGUUGUCGGGACUUAAUUGUCUUGGUAACGCAGCUAACGCGUGAAGUAGACCGCCUGGGGAGUACGGUCGCAAGAUUAAAACUCAAAGGAAUUGACGGGGACCCGCACAAGCGGUGGAUGAUGUGGAUUAAUUCGAUGCAACGCGAAAAACCUUACCUACCCUUGACAUGUACGAAAGCUCGAAGAGAUUUGAGUGUGCUCGCAAG